GCGGUCGUGGUGGAACUGGUAGACACGCUACUUUGAGGGGGUAGUGGGCUUAGCCUGUGUCAGUUCGAUUCUGACCGACCGCA
rnacentral:tRNA from 1 species